GUGUUGUAGGGGUGAUCUUACUCAUGGUUACAAAAGCCUAAAGCUCCAAAAACACAUGUGGCAUUUAACCAACUUCUGACCUUGGCUGAAGGUGAAGUUCUGAUUUAGUGUUAACAGCCACUUGCCUACAGGGAGACUGUUUCCCAUUAGCAGGUGUUGUUUUGUUCAUUAUGCUCAUUAAACUUGGUAUUUCCUAAAAGAGUGAUGACUGAAACCAGCUGUCAGGUUGUCAGGUAUUUAUUCAUCAGUUCAAAAUGCUGAACACAGCAUCAACAAUCUAAUUGCCUGUAGUAUCAGAGCUGUUUCAACCAGCUCAACCAGUGUAUCAGUUCAUUUGGGUUGAUUAUUGCAAAAAAAAAAAGCCACUGUGGUAGAUGAUUUUGUUAAUACUACUGAGACAGUUGUGCUCCUCAGCAGUUAAAAAGAGUGGAGGAAAGAGAACAUAAAAUAUCCUCUGCACUGCUGUGAUCUGGAGGCAAGUGUACACCCUUAUUUUAGUGUUGUGUGUAAGGGAAAAAAAGGAAAAAGCUGUUGUGCCAAAAUGUUUCCAGGGAUAUUUUCUCCAAACACCACACUAAUUGUAAUUAACUGUAAUGUCAUUUACUUUUCUAACUUGCCUUUGAAAAUACUAAGCACUGUGAUACAACUAACUCACACACAUAUAGCACAGAUAAGAGGUAAUUCCUGCUUGAAGAAACACCUGACAGAAACUCACUGCCUGAGACAGGCCUUGAUGGAUCCUAUUUUACAAAAAAAAUGGUGUCACUGUUCACCUGCAGCGUGCGUUCCCCUCGCUGAAGGAGCUGUGUCUGUGUCACUCCAGCCGAGCGAAGAAAAAUUCCAAGGCUGCUCUGUUGCUACAGCUCUGCAAUACCACAUUCAGAGGAGCAAGGAAAUCAUGUUUUCUUGGAGACCAAGCAGUUUUGCAAUUCAGGCUCUAAGCUAUGCCAUGAACAGAGAGGCUGGGACAGUGUUGGAGACGUACAGGAGUCUGUGUGUGUACUGAAGAGAGUCCCAGCCACAAAGCAGAGGAUGGAGAACCAUUGCUUUCCGAGCACCAGCACACAGAAACAAUAAAAACUGAACAGCCUUCAGCAGAGGACUCCACAGGAGAAGCAAGACUCCACCUCUGCCACCAAACCCGUGGCAGACAUCAGCAAGUUUGCCACGUGCACACCACACUGUCCCACUUACCGUGAGGGCGCCAUGGGCUGGUCUCGGUGCGCCCAGAGAGGCCUCCCAGCCCCGUGAUAAAUAAAUGUCCAUCAGCCGGAGCACAGGGCUGGUCACUGACCUUCAUCCCCUCGGUUUGCCCCAAGCAGAGGGCUCGGGGGGUUUAACAGAGGCGCUUUGAUCUCCUUCCCCACGGAGGGCUCCAUGGAUCUGCCACAGGCCCAGGAGCUCGGGCCAGCACACGGGCUGUGGGGAGCUAAUCACACUCACAGCUUCAGAGCUCCAGCGUGCAUAAAUCACUGAAAUGUGGCCUUAAAAGCUGUGUCUCCCGAAAAGGGCAAACCUCUCAAAAAAAAUAAAUAAUGACCCUUCAAUUUUUUCAGAAAGUACCCAGUAAAACAAAAAAGAUGGUCCCUAUAUAAAAUGGGCCCUCCCCAUUUUGCAGCAAGAAUCAUAAAUCCAAUAUUCCCCAGCCACUGCAAAUUAGAGAUUUCUAUUAGAUUGUGUAGCUUGGCCAGUCUCUGCACAUAGGAACUGGAGAAGAACAGCAAGUCAAAAUGAGUAGUACUGUGCACAAUAGGCUUGAAAAAACAUUCAAGUACCAACAGCUAUAAGAAUUUCUUUCCUUACAGUUCUUACAAGGAGCUUUAAUUCAUCCUUUUCUGCAGCUCCUGCCUUCAUAUUGUUGUGGCAGAAAGCUGUUGGGGAUUUUAAUUUUCAUCUCUAUACGUGAUAAAUCCAAAUAUAAAAAUGGUUUGACUUCCUUGGAAAUGUUCUGGACAUAGCCAGCUUGUGCAAGAAUUGAAAAAUCACCAAUCUUUUCCAAAUGAUAGCAUCUCUUUCCUAUUUGUUUUUUGGGGGAUUUUUUUUUUAAUUUUUUUUUUUUUUUUCCAUCUAGAAUGAAGUGUGUUCAAAUUUGUGAAAAAUCAGUCUCCAAACAGUAACUCUGCAAUUGGUAUGGGGGUUUGGGGAUUGGUUUUUGGUUUGUUUUUCUUCUGGGCUUCUUGUUGUUGGCUUGAUUUUUGUUUACAUUUUUUAAUUGGGGAAGAGCUGGGAGAGUGACUAGGUUUUACUUGGCAGAUUUUCUUCAUUCUAACCAGUCAUGUCAGAACUACAUUUCCUCCACCCCCUCCAAUAUUCCUAGGCAGUCAGCCAGAGGAAUAGACUCCAAAGCUACUCAAAGAAAAAAUGUCUCAGUCUCAUAUGCCUUAAGAUACCUUUACAUUUCUGUAGUACUAUAGAUGCUUCUUAAAUAAAGCCCACCCAAAGCAGCACUGAAUUCAGUAAUCCUGGCAACGUCCGUGUGUUUACUGGUUUAUCUGGGUCCCCUAGAAAGGGCUGAAGGAAAAGAAACAAGAAGCCAGGAGAGCUGUAGGAGAAUUCUUUCCACCUUCUUCAUUGAUACCCUUCAUGCCAUUCAAAUAGACUCCGGAAUACACUACUUUAAUUAGCAAAGCUUGUUUUAAAGUAAACAACACAAACACUCCUUAUAGGACAGUCACAGUCUCCCCUGCUAGAUAUACAGGCUUUUUGGCAAGAUCACAUUCAAACAGCAUGAAAUUCACCCAUGGGCACGGUCCCGAGAAGGCCCUUGCACCUCUUUAACUUCCAUUUAGCUGCUCUGGAUAGGAGCGAGUGGUUUGUGGGAUAAGGACAGCUUUCCUCCAAAAAAAAAGAUGGUCCAAAUCCACAUCUGUAAAGAUCAUCAGUUUUACCACUAUAAGGUCAUAAAGGUGUGAUAUAGGCGUCAUGCAUAGAGUACAUACCAUAAUUUGUUUGAGUCCUGUCCCCAAGUGACUUUGAGUCCCCGUGAAAGUACAAAGCACAACGCGCCCGCAAUGGAACCCGUGGUGGCUAUCUCUGCUGCGUUGUGCUCUUUCCUGGGAACACUGCAAAGUCAUUCAACAGACAGGAGUCAGGACAGCAGUGAGAAGAGUAUCCUCAUGAGGAAGCUCUGACAGGAUUCCUUUUGGUACAAAUGGGAGAACAUGAGAGUCCCGUCUUCGGUCAGUAAUUGCUAAACAAACAGAAAUUGGAAAUCAUUGAUGCGACAUUGACCCAUAAAACACUGAUCACUGAGGCCCUGUUCUCCCCUGUGCCACACACAGGGAACAACAGAUGCUCCAAGUAAACAGGGUAAGAACAAAACAGUAUGGAAAUAAUGUGGUUCCUUAACAAAUGUCUUACUGUAGUCCAUUUAUGCUGACUGACACCGGUUGUUCUUUUCAGUUAUAACUGUGCAACAAAAUCAGACAUGUCUCAUCUUCCAGUCUUGAUACUGAGCUGUUGCUGAUUUUCUUUUGUUGGUCAAGUUAUUUAAUUUUUCUCUUAUUUUUCUUUUUUUUCCUUUUUCUUUUUUUUUGGUUUUUUUUUGCUUUUUUUUUGUUUACAUCUACGUUUAUCAACACUGAUACAUUACAGAUCUUGUUAGUUAUACUUUGAAGUCUGAUCAUGCAGAACUACAGGCAGGUGCAACUUAGAUCUUAUUACAGGAUGGACAUGGCAAGGUGAACAGUUGUUUUUGCUAGUUAAGAUCUGGAGCUUUGUUACUGUUGUGGCUUAAUGUAUACUGGCCAUAAGUCCCACUUACCCAAUUUACUAAAUAUACAUGAUUCUAUAUGUACACUGAAACUUCCAGCACCCUCCUUUAUCACCACUUGACUGACUCAGGAGAAGGUCAGAGGUCAACCAUAUUUAGGCAAACAGCAGCCUUAUUGUAAAAGUUUUUAACAGAAAGAGCGCGUCAGAUUAUUACAUAUUACUUACAGAGGAAGGAAAAAAAAAUAAGUCCAUACAACUAUUUACAUUAUAAAUAUCUUGCUUUUCAGAAGACAAGAAUGGCCCUGUUCAGUGAAAAUUAGCAAAAGAGACCUGUCUGAAAUGAAAAGCAUGGUAAGGAUACAUUUAUUUCCCAAAUUGACUGUGUCUUCCUUCAAUAUGUGCUUUUCAGCUUUUCCCACUCAGGUAAAAAGGCACCAUUAGCCUCAGCUGAAGUUUUUCAACAUUCUUUUGUCAAAUCAAACGCUCUUUAAAACUCAAACUUGCCAUAGGCCAACGAGCCUGAACAUGCAUUAAGUUAAACAUUUCACUUCUUGCAAUCAA